rnacentral:rRNA from 1 species
CUGGAAUAACACGAGGAAACUUGUGCUAAUACCGGAUAAGUCUUUACGGAGAAAGCUUUAUGCACCAUUGGAUGAGCCCGCACUUGAUUAGUUUGUUGGUAGGGUAAUGGCCUACCAAGACUAUGAUCAAUAGCUGAUUUGAGAGGAUGAUCAGCCACAUUGGGACUGGACACGGCCCAAACUCCUACGGGAGGCAGCAGUGGGGAAUCUUGCACAAUGGAGGAAACUCUGAUGCAGCGAUGCCGCGUGAGUGAAGAAGGCCCUUGGGUUGUAAAGCUCUUUCGUCGGGGAAGAAAAACUCCGACGUGUCGGAGCUUGACGGUACUGUAAGAAUAAGGAUCG